CCCAAAUUUUGUUCUCUUUCUCAAAAUUAGGGUUUCACUCUAUACCAUCUGUUGCGCCUCUCCCCGAUCUCUCCUUCUCCAUCUCUAGCUUUUGCUUACCUUUCGUCUAGGGUUUGUUGUAGUUGGAGCUGGUCGGAGUUCACUGAAUCGAUGGUUUGUAGGUGAUAAACCAGUUAACAAAGUAAUCUGUACAAAUCAGGAGCAAAUCAAGUUGCCGCUUGAAUUGCUUUAGUUUACUGGUUUGACUGGUGCUUGAGGUAAAAAAAAAUUAGGCAUACACAA